rnacentral:lncRNA from 1 species
CCUGAGUCUGAAUCACUUACAAAGAUGGAAGUUAUUUCUCAAAAUUCUAGAGCAGGGAAGGCCAAGGUGGUGCUGGCCUUGGACCCUCCCCUCUUCUGUCAUCACCUAGUGCAUGAUAUCUUGUGGUGAGAAAGACCCCAUGUGAAACACAGAGGGAACUACUCCCACAACAACAACAACAACAACAACAUUAAUCCAUCAUUUCUCGAAGGCUCCACUUCUUCACUAGACAGCAGCAAUUAUAUUCUAGCACAUGUUUUGAAGGGAACAUCCAACCCAUAGCAUAAAGGCAAGCCAGAGUCCAAAAGCCAGGAACACUCAUACUGUGACCAUCUUCACAGAACCACUGUCCCCUGGGGUCACUGGAUUGGACUGGCAGUACAGUGAGCUGGGCAGCACAGAAGUGAACUAUGCCACUGCUGGACAGAGGCUGAACCCAGUCACCUCGCAGGGCAGGUUGGGAGGGGCCAGGGAUCCUGGGAAAGCUGUAGCACUCCACAGAGAUACAGCAAAAACCCCUGACUUGGACCAAAGGGCAACUCCUUUUUUAAAAAUCCUUUAAAUACGUGUGUGUGUGUGUGUGUGUGUGUAUGUAUGUAUGUGUUUAUCAGGAGGCAAAAGAUCAAUGUUGAGGGUCUUGCUCAGUCUCUUUCAGUGAACCUGGAGCUUGCCAGUUUGUCUAGACUGGCUUUGCCAGUGAACCCCAGGACCCUCUCGUCUCUGCUUCCCCAUUGGUGGAAUCCCAGGCAUACUGCUACAUCCAGCUUUUCGCUAUACACGCAUGCUGGGAUAGAACUCAGUUCCUCACAUUUGCAAGACAAACAUGCGUAGUCUGACAGAGCUCUCCGAGCUUUGGGGAAGGCACCCCUCCUCCCUAGAUGCCCUUCUUUCCUCUGUCUCUCCUCCCUGCACCAGGAGGCAGGAAGUCCCCUCCCAGAAUCUGCUCAGGCUAUACCCCAAACCCGAGCUCUCAGAUUCUAGUCUUUCCUUUGAUGGAUUCCUGUUUUUUGAAGGCCAGCUCAAGACUUGCCUGCUCUAAAAAGCUUUCCCAGCCUCUUGACCGUAUUCUGCUUCUGUUCCUAUCCCAUGGUGCUUUGCAGUGCAUGGACAUCUCAGUUGUACCCAAAAAGUAUUGGGCGGAGAGGAGAGAUGCAAAAAUGGCCACACUAAGACUCACAGCAUUGAAUCUUGUAUUUUCUCCACAGGUGUGUGAGCCAUGGAGGAGAAGGAUGCAAGGAGCCAAGGAAG